AAACUAACUAGGGAUUCCCUUAGUAACGGCGAGUGAACCGGGAUGAGCUCAAAUUUGAAAUCUGGCGUCUUUCAGGCGUCCGAGUUGUAAUCUAUAGAGGCGUUUUCCGCGCCGGACCGCGUCCAAGUCUCUUGGAAUAGAGUAUCAAAGAGGGUGACAAUCCCGUACUUGACGCGACAACCGGUGCUCUGUGAUACGUUCUCAACGAGUCGAGUUGUUUGGGAAUGCAGCUCUAAAUGGGUGGUAAAUUCCAUCUAAGGCUAAAUAUUGGCGAGAGACCGAUAGCGAACAAGUACCGUGAGGGAAAGAUGAAAAGCACUUUGGAAAGAGAGUUAAACAGCACGUGAAAUUGUUAAAAGGGAAACGAUUGAAGUCAGUCGUGUGAAAGGUAUUCAGCCGUCUCUGGCGGUGUAUUUGCCUUUCACGGGUCAACAUCAGUUUAGUCCGGUAGAAAAAGGCUGGAGGAAGGUGGCACCCUCGGGUGUGUUAUAGCCUCCUGUCACAUGUGCCGGAUUAGACUGAGGAACGCAGCUUGCCGCAAGGCCGGGGUUCGCCCACGUACAAGCUUAGGAUGUUGACAUAAUGGCUUUAAACGAC
rnacentral:rRNA from 1 species